UGGGUGCCCCUUUGUGGUCGGUGUACAGGUGGUGCAUGGUUGUCGUCAGCUCGUGUCGUGAGAUGUUGGGUUAAGUCCCGCAACGAGCGCAACCCUCGUCCUAUGUUGCCAGCGGGUCAUGCCGGGGACUCAUGGGAGACUGCCGGGGUCAACUCGGAGGAAGGUGGGGAUGACGUCAAAUCAUCAUGCCCCUUAUGUCUUGGGCUUCACGCAUGCUACAAUGGCCGGUACAAAGGGCUGCGAUACCGCGAGGUGGAGCGAAUCCCAGAAAGCCGGUCUCAGUUCGGAUUGGGGUCUGCAACUCGACCCCAUGAAGUCGGAGUCGCUAGUAAUCGCAGAUCAGCAACGCUGCGGUGAAUACGUUCCCGGGCCUU
rnacentral:rRNA from 1 species